AGAGUUUGAUCAUGGCUCAGAUUGAACGCUGGCGGCAGGCCUAACACAUGCAAGUCGAGCGGUAGCACAGAGAGCUUGCUCUCGGGUGACGAGCGGCGGACGGGUGAGUAAUGUCUGGGAAACUGCCUGAUGGAGGGGGAUAACUACUGGAAACGGUAGCUAAUACCGCAUAACGUCGCAAGACCAAAGUGGGGGACCUUCGGGCCUCAUGCCAUCAGAUGUGCCCAGAUGGGAUUAGCUAGUAGGUGGGGUAACGGCUCACCUAGGCGACGAUCCCUAGCUGGUCUGAGAGGAUGACCAGCCACACUGGAACUGAGACACGGUCCAGACUCCUACGGGAGGCAGCAGUGGGGAAUAUUGCACAAUGGGCGCAAGCCUGAUGCAGCCAUGCCGCGUGUGUGAAGAAGGCCUUCGGGUUGUAAAGCACUUUCAGCGGGGAGGAAGGCGGUGAGGUUAAUAACCUCAUCGAUUGACGUUACCCGCAGAAGAAGCACCGGCUAACUCCGUGCCAGCAGCCGCGGUAAUACGGAGGGUGCAAGCGUUAAUCGGAAUUACUGGGCGUAAAGCGCACGCAGGCGGUCUGUCAAGUCGGAUGUGAAAUCCCCGGGCUCAACCUGGGAACUGCAUUCGAAACUGGCAGGCUAGAGUCUUGUAGAGGGGGGUAGAAUUCCAGGUGUAGCGGUGAAAUGCGUAGAGAUCUGGAGGAAUACCGGUGGCGAAGGCGGCCCCCUGGACAAAGACUGACGCUCAGGUGCGAAAGCGUGGGGAGCAAACAGGAUUAGAUACCCUGGUAGUCCACGCCGUAAACGAUGUCGAUUUGGAGGUUGUGCCCUUGAGGCGUGGCUUCCGGAGCUAACGCGUUAAAUCGACCGCCUGGGGAGUACGGCCGCAAGGUUAAAACUCAAAUGAAUUGACGGGGGCCCGCACAAGCGGUGGAGCAUGUGGUUUAAUUCGAUGCAACGCGAAGAACCUUACCUGGUCUUGACAUCCACAGAACUUUCCAGAGAUGGAUUGGUGCCUUCGGGAACUGUGAGACAGGUGCUGCAUGGCUGUCGUCAGCUCGUGUUGUGAAAUGUUGGGUUAAGUCCCGCAACGAGCGCAACCCUUAUCCUUUGUUGCCAGCGGU
rnacentral:rRNA from 2 species